UAGUAUUUGUUUCAUUAAUGUAAAGCUUUCCUCAAAUUUUCCAUCAUGAUUUGAGGCAUCAGGUGGGCGAUAUAGUGUGCAUAUCACUAUAUCAAGUUGCUUUAGAUGUACUAUGAGUGUGUCACAGUUCGAGUGCGAUAACAGGGUUAAUGGUGUGACAUCUUCGCGGAUGUACACUGCAAUCCACCGUGACUUCUUUUCCUU